ACAACAUUCGGUCUGUCGGUCUACCGAGCAAUAUCAUCCGCUCAGCGAAAGAUCUUCCGUUCCUCGU
rnacentral:pre_miRNA from 1 species